GACGAACGCUGGCGGCGUGCCUAAUACAUGCAAGUCGAACGCCGUUGCGAACGGGUGAGUAACGCGUAGGUAACUGCCUCAUAGCAGGGGAUAACUAUUGGAAACGAUAGCUAAUACCGCAUACUGUGAUAUGGACCUGCUUUGUAUUAGCUAGUUGGUGCGGUAAAGGCACACCAAGGCGACGAUACAUAGCCGACCUGAGAGGGUGACCAGCCAAACUGGGACUGAGACACGGGCCAGACUCCUACGGGAGGCAGCAGUAGGGGAUCUUCGGAGAUUGGCGGAAGGCUGAACGAGCAACGCCGGGGGAGUGGAGAAGGUUUUCGGAUUGGAAAGCUAUGUUGUGAGAGAAGCGGUAACUAAACAGAAAGGGACGGCUAACUACGUGCCAGCAGCCGCGGUAAUUC
rnacentral:rRNA from 1 species